CUACGAUGCAGUCGACACUGAAUCCGGAGGCGCCGGAAUUUCAGAGGCGUGGUCCUGAUGUCUGAAGGAAAUGGACCUCCUGGAAACAGUGCCCCACCAGAUUGUCCAUGCUGUCAACAUUUCUCAGACGAGAUAGAGAUGAUGUACCGG